ensembl:lncRNA
CUCCUCCACAUCCUUCCUGCAAAGGCUGCGGUCGCCUGGCGAGGUCCACUUCCAGGCAGUGUCUGCGUGCCCGGCUCCUUGUGGCCGUCGCUCUGCAUCUCCUCAAAGACAUCAUCAACCAUGAGGGUGACUUUGAACACUGGGCUGGGAGUCAUCGACUGCCCCUCCAUGGAGACGGAGACGGAGACUCCGCGGGCGCCGAGGCUGCAGUCCUGGGGCAUCUGCACGAGCUGUGGAUCCACGAUGGGACCGAGCAACUCGCGGACGCCUGAGACCCAGGUACGAACACAAGGAAACAGAGGUAAGACCUUCAGCACGAGGGGAGACAAGGAGUGGUGCGGCGGGAGGACGGAGGGGAGAAGGAAGGAUGGGAGGCAGUGAUGGGCGGCAGGGCUGGGUGCACCGUGCCGGCUCCCGCCGUGCCACAAGCGUAAUCUCAGCGGGAGAGUGAGUCCAGGGCUCCUUGCCAGCAAUCCUUUGAAAAUAUUGAAUUAUAGAAAGAGAUAAUAGGCAAAUGGACUCUUAAAAUAUGGAUUUGCACACACAUUACGUCUCUAGGCCCCAGCCUCUUUGAAUGUCAGCUAAUUCAGCCAUGGUCUAAGAUUAGAUUGAAAAAUAUAUAAAAUAUAUAUUAUCACUUGUUCCAGGAGGGAAAUAUGGCACUGGCUGGGGGUUUGCCAGCCCCCAGGAAGGCCACUUUUCCGAGGCCAGAAGAUGAGGUGCUCCUGGUGUCCUCUGUGAGGGACUCUGUGGGGGACGGGAGGGGCCUGGCCAGCAGAGUCCCUGAAAACAGCAGAGGAGCUUCCCCGCCCAUUCUGAGGGACAAGAAUGGGACUUCUCCGCUCACUCUGAGGCACAGGGACCUGUCCUGGCCCUCUGUGCACCCUGGUGCUGCAUAGGUUUGGGGGCACUUGAGUAGGGGAAAGAGUGGGUCUGGGGCAUAUGGGAGAGCCGCGCAUUGACUUUGCACUGGCCUGGGCUGUGAGAUCCUGCACCCUGUCUGAGGCUCUCUUGACCUGACGUCAGAUGGGAUUUUUGUUUCACUGUUUGGUGGUCCGCACCGUCUCAGCACUCCUGGAGUAUGGGGUGACGUUCCCCAUGUAGAGACCUGUCAGGCCAGGCGGUACGGCUGCGUCCUGACAAUGCAGGAGAGAGACCACCGGUCUACACCCUCGGUCUUGGACUUCCAGCCUCGGAAUUGUGAGAAAAUCAACGUGUGCUGUGCAGGCCGCCCGGUCUGAGGUCAGUUGUUUCGGAAGCCCCGGCAAAUUCAUGGGGAUGCAGCACGACAAAGCUGCGGCCAAAAGGCUUUUUCAGUCCUUGGAACGUUCUCAUCCUUGUGGAGUGGCAGCAAGCUUCGUACGUGCUUCGCGUUCUGAGAUUCCAGGCUUCGUCACUCAUUCGUUCACGGACUUGCUCUCUGAGGCAACACGCAGUCCCGCACUGGCACCUGUCCGGUCCACAAGAGCAAGGGCUGCAGAGCUGGGCGUGGCCAUUCCACAUCCUGAGAGGAGCUGAGUGCAGCAUCCUCUGUUCCGAGAGGGGCAUGUCGGCUCUGCGCCAUUUUUGUCCCCCUCCAUCCUCACCAUUUCACUGCUUGGCUGGCACACCGGGACACCCACGCACUCCAGUGGUGCCAUCAUCCCCUCCACACAUGGCAUGUCCUUUAUGCUGAGCGCCCAGAGUUGUUCCCACCCCAGUAGCCAGGCUCCGAAACCAUGUCCCUGGCCCUCAGGAGCCACUGUUUCUCCCUCGCCUCCCCUGAGCCCUGUGUGUGGCCCAGCAUCUGUGGGCCGUCUCCCUCACCACGCUUAGGGAUGUUCUCAGCACAUGAACAAGGCCACUUGCUCCAAGGGCAUCUGUGAACCCUGCUGGGCUCAGCUGCCCUGGCCGACCUGCUGCUACCCCAGUAGGCCACCUUGCAUCUGCUGUGCACCUGGGCAGGUGAGUGCUGGCUGCUUCCAGCCCUCCUGAGCUCUACGUGGACCUCCCUCCUCAGCACUGAGCAGGCAGGGUCAGGGCCCGGAUGUGGCCUCCUGGGGCCCCAGCUGACCAUUCCCCCAGGAGCCCUACAACCUCACCCCUGCUUCUCUACCAGCCAGUCGCUGGGAGUGGCACUGCCCCCACCUUCCCAUGAAAGCACCAAGGCUGACUUUGCUCUACUGGGGUGACGUCCUAGGUGAUGCCUUCCAGGGUCCUGGCACUGGAUCCUGGGAAGGGUGUGGUCGAUUCCCCUCAAAGCACACUCAUUCAGGAAGCUGCAGACAUGACCCACCCACACACCUUGUUUUCAAAUUAUAUUAGAAUCUGCUAUUAAACUCUUUUCCGAAUUAUUUCAUAGAAAAUGAAAGGCAACAGUCCCCACAGAUAGCUCUCUCUUAUGGCUAAUUAUGAGGGAAAUAUAUUGAUAAAACAGAACAGCGUGUUUUUUUUUUUUUAAAUGAAGAGUAUUUUGGAAGAAAGAAAAUGUUCAUAUAAAUUUCCUUUAAGGAUUAAAAAAAUAGCCGUAUAUGGCUAUCAUUCUAAUACAUUUAGUAAAAUAUUUGUACUCUUCUUUCCAUGAAGAUUUAUAAUCAGUUGAAGUAUGUCAGGGAAAUAAAAUAAAAAGGGACCCCCCCAUAAUCCAUUAGUCUAAGAAAUUGUCUUAAAAGCAGCAUGUCAUUAUUUUAGAGUUAAACAGUUAAAUGUUUUUAUACAGGAACAUCAAAACUAUAUAUGCUUCAAACACCAAACCUUUUUUUAAUGGCUUUCAGAUAAAACAAUUUAUUUAUGCAAUUAACAACAACAUGCAAUUUCUAAUAAUUAGCAGAUAAUAGUUAUCUGCAAAGUACUUUAUAAAAUUGCCUUUGAACUGCAUUCGUUCUGUGGGGAAUCACUGAAAAUUGGACUAUAAAAUUACCAGAAAAUGUACUGCAUUAACAAGAAUUUUCUGUGUUCAGUUUCUCUUCAAAUUUAUGGGCUUGAAUAUUUGUAAACAUUUGGUUUCAUAGACAGAAACCCUAUCACAUCACCUCUCUAAAAGGGGAAAAAUACAUUUUAGUGAAUUUUGUUGUUUUAGAAUUUUAAUUUUCUUGAUUUUAACUUUGCUUUCUCUUCUUCUCCUCCCCUCCCAAACAGGGACAUUAUUUUGUUAUUAUUUCUUCUUUGAGAAUUAAAAAAAAAUACUAAUAUGUCCUUUUUAUUGGUAUACAUCAGUUCUUUCUAAUUCCCUUUUAUAAACAAUAUCAUAAAUUCAGUAAUUGUAAAGCCUUCCUAUUAAACUGAACUGUCUUUGAAGAAAGAACAAUAAAAAACAUGAGAGAAAUGUGUUGGACGAGUAUCAAGAGGACACGGGACACACAAAGGGUAUUUUCUGCCCCUUCUUCAUAUUUUAAGAGAAAUCUCCAUGGUGCCCACCGACAUGGCAUCCUGCGCAUGUGAAAACGUCAUUACUUAAAAAGCAUAUUUCCAUCCUGUUUC